UCCUAGGUGGCUCAAUGGUAAAGAAUCUGCUUUCCAAGCAGGAGACACAGUUUCGAUCCCUGUGUCAGGAA
rnacentral:tRNA from 1 species